UAGAAAAGCAGAAAUAAAGCAAUGAAGAAGAAUAUUGUGCUAAAUAAAACUGAGUUUUUAAAAGAGAUGUCACAUUUCAGAAAAAAUGGUUUGGAGAAACACAGAAAACUAUUUGAAUUGAAAUAAAAUAGAGAGAAAGAGAAAUAAAAUUGCAAUAUGAUAAUAAACUAGAGAGAAUAUAAAUGUAUUUCUGCUAUUGGUGACAGUACUACAAUAGCAUCAGACCAACGUUGAGCAAUUUAAAUGGAUAUGGAAAAAGAUGGGGAGUCUCAGUUGCAAGAUAGAUCAUUGUCAUUAACACAUUAGAAAAUUAACUGGAAAGCUGAAGUUUAGAAAGAGCUACUCUCCUGGAAAGCCACAACAUGAGAAAUUAAUCUGCCCAGAGUUUGAGAUAAAUGCUGUUACAAAAGGAAAUGACAGAGAAAACGUAAUUAAUUCCUCAGCUCCCAUUUAAUUUCUGACUAUUCUGUCCAGAAGGAAACUCAUAAAGCUGUAAAGGAGAGAGCAAAUGGUAUUUGGUGAGACUUGAGUCUUAAGAAGAAUACAGAGCCCUUAGAAAAAGACGCAUGGAUUUAAACACUCUGACUUGGGCAACUUAUAUUCCUACAGUAUUAUUACAACGUAGAGAUGAGACACCUGAAUUGAUGCCAGUGAUCUAAGGGAGAUUUGCCAAUAUGAAGAGAAGCCAGCUGGAUUUUAUCUUGAGGUGGUCACGAAAACAACUUUUUUAACUCUGUUACCCACUCACCUCUCUGCUCAGCAACAUUUAUUGACGUUUUCUUUGUGCUAACAUGGAGACUUGAGAAAAAGGAAGCUCACCACAGACAAGAAGAAGCUAUACAUAUAGCAAAGACUUUCAGAGAAAAUAAGAAAGCAACAUUUCUGAGUAAAGUAUGUGUUUUAAUAUUAAAUAUAAUACCUUACUAUUGAUUCCAUCAGGUUUUAAUUUGACAAUGUUUACAAUUAUAAUGCUUAUGAAAAUAAAAAUGGUA